GUACCCUCCUCCGCGUUAGGUGCCUGCCGGCCGCUGCGGUCUGGGCAGGUUAAAAGGGAAACUGGUUACCGGCCUUCAGUCGUUAUGCCAGUGCUGCCCCCGCAACGGUAGGGAACCUAGUUCCGAGCCCGAUACCUGCCUGACGUAACGUAAACCA
rnacentral:ncRNA from 2 species